AUGCAAUUCCCUAUCAGAUACCUAGGGCUUCCACUCACAAUUGGCCGGCUUAGGUUAGUACAUCUGCAGUUCAUCCUAGAUAGAAUUCGGGCUAGAUUAGCAGGCUGGAAAGGGAAAAUGCUCUCCAUGGCUGGGCGCAGGGUGCUCGUCAGAUGCGUCCUCACCGCCAUGCCAACGUUUGCCCUUACAGCUCUUAAAAUCCCAGUAAAGCUGUUGAAAGAAAUAGACAAAUGUAGACGCCGAUUCCUCUGGGGCCACGAUCAGGAGCUCACCGGCGGUAGCUGCAAGGUGAGCUGGGCACGGGUUUGCUCCCCGAUCGAGCACGGUGGCCUUGGCAUCCUCGAUCUGCCCAAGUUCAGCCGUGCACUCCGCCUACGCUGGCUCUGA
rnacentral:rRNA from 1 species